rnacentral:rRNA from 1 species
AGCAAAAGAAACCAACCGGGAUUGCCUCAGUAACGGCGAGUGAAGCGGCAAGAGCUCAAAUUUGAAAUCUGGCCCCCUCGGGGUCCGAAGUUGUAAUUUGCAGAGGAUGCUUCGGGUGCGGUCCCCAUCUAAGUGCCCUGGAACGGGCCGUCAUAGAGGGUGAGAAUCCCGUCUGGGAUGGGCGGCCGCGCCCGUGUGAAGCUCCUUCGACGAGUCGAGUUGUUUGGGAAUGCAGCUCUAAGCGGGUGGUAAAUUUCAUCUAAAGCUAAAUACUGGCCGGAGACCGAUAGCGCACAAGUAGAGUGAUCGAAAGAUGAAAAGCACUUUGAAAAGAGAGUUAAACAGCACGUGAAAUUGUUGAAAGGGAAGCGUUGUCCACCAGACUCGCCCGGGGGGGCUCAGCCGGCACGUGUGCCGGUGUACUCCCCUCCGGGCGGGCCAGCAUCGGUUUGGGCGGCUGGUGAAAGGCCCCGGGAAUGUAACACCCUCCGGGGUGCCUUAUAGCCCGGGGUGCCAUGCAGCCAGCCUGGACCGAGGCCCGCGCUUCGGCGAGGAUGCUGGCGUAAUGGUGGUCAACGGC